rnacentral:lncRNA from 1 species
GAGGCCACACCCUAGCCUCGGAGGAAAGUAAAAGCAAGAAAAGGCUACAACCCGGCCAAGGGCAAACCUAGUCUUGGAUCUCUAUGCACUCCCCCUCCUCGGCCUCGGCCUCCCCCUGUAGGGUCUCGGCCGUUUGAGCCUCUUGUGCCGCUAGAGCCCCCACCUCAGCGCUUGGAACCAACCGACCCUGGUGAACUUCGCAAUCUAUAUCGAAAUCACCAAAAGCCGGCGACCCUCCAUAAAGAACGUGAGCCUGGCGCACGGCUCCUGGGUCUUGGCCGUUUCAGCCUAAGAAGAAGAAGAAGAAGAAGAAGGAAGAAGAAGAAGAAGGAAG